rnacentral:tRNA from 1 species
UGGUCGCAUAGUUCAAGGGUAGAAUAGAAGCUUGUCGAGCUUUUGGUCCGAGUUCGAGUCUCGGUGCGACCGACC